AGGCAUAAGCCACCAUGCCUGGCCAGGAAUUCUUGCUUUUUAGGGUUUCGCUUAAGUUUUAGGUUAUAAGGAUAAGAAUUCUAGUUAACACAUAAUUCAGUAGGCAAAAUGUGCUGGAAAAGAUUAUGUUAGUAGUGAGAAAAAGAAUAACUUUGUAUAAUUCAGAAGUUAUCAAAUUCUAACUAACUUUUUGGAUUUUAGGCUUCUAGACAGUUUAAGCAUGUUGAAUAUACUUUCAUAAAUAGAAUUUGAGUUCUAUUUCUCUCUCUGCCUAAUUUCUUCAAAAUUUGUAAACUAUUUGUGAAUAUUCUUAAUUCAUGGCAAUAUGUUUGUCUGCAUACAGUUGAGCAGGGUCCCUAGGGCCACUCAGGGAGAAAGAACCCAGAAACCAGACAUGCUUGCAAAAGAAUAUUUCUUACCAGUUAGUCUCUGGUCUCUUUCGCUCUGUGCAAACUGGUUAAAUGAAAGGUAAAAGUCACCAUUUGUCCCUUCUGUAAAGUUUUAAAUUGGUUUAAUAAUAAUAUAAGAGCUUAAAUCAAAUAUUUUGUCAGAAAAGUGAAAAAUGUAAUGCUUUUUAUUUAGUUCAUGUGACUUGAGUAAUCUUUAGGAAAUAAACAGUUUUAAAGAUUAUUGGUAAAAUACAGUUGUCUUGAAAAUGUAAACAUGUGGUCUAAGUUAUGUUCAAAUAUUAGGUUUGCUAAAUGCUUUAAGGUCAUAAACUGCUUCUUUGGUGUUUGAAAUUUGUUUAACUUGCCUGCUUUCCAGCUAGGUAAGGCCUGAGGACAGCCCACUCGGGAUGGCCCUGGGGGCUUCUGAGAUGAAAGAGGCCUUCUUGGGAGGCUCCCAGCAUUCCCUGUGCUCUUGCCUCUUCUCCCCUCUGCCUGCCUGAAGAUCCCCCUGAGUCCCUGCCACCCCCUCUCCAUGGGGAGUUGGCCAUGCCCCUAACUAUGCUGGAAACAUUCUAAUCUUAUCAGAACACAACUUAGCAGGUUUUACAUUACAAUUAAGAUUGCUAGGAGUCACCAUUAACAUGUAAUUAAGAUUACUAGAAACAGUUUUAUAUGCAAGAUGUGUAAGAAUAGUAAAAUGUGUUUUUUUUUUUUUUUUGGUAAAAGGUUAUAAAGGGUUUUUGCUUAAAAUUUCUGAGUCAUCAUUUUGGCAAAAUAAGUAAUUUAGGGCAAUCUGGAAUUCCAAAAUCAAACUUCAGUUUCAAAAUUGUCUUUUCUAAUGCCUGGCUUUUUGGAUGGAUCAGAUGGCCCCUGAAAACAUCCAGAAAAGAGGUAAAAAAAGCUUUCAAUUGUUUGGAUCUUCUGAGAACAUCAGAAGAUCUUGCCAUCUGCACUACAACAAAACUUUGGGACCUUGAACUUUGGGUACAUAAUCUCACAACUGAGAAAGUUCCCUCCACACUCUUGGAAUUGUACACUCAUUGGAGCCCUUAAGGUAAAACUAACCAGGGAAAUUUCUCCCAAAAUGAAGAUGGCAUCCUUGAUGUGAAUAUCUUUUCCCAAGUUAACAGAUUAACACUUCUACUGUCAUGAAAUUCUUAUCUUUUAUUAUUUUUUCUUGCUUAUGCCUCUCUGAACAAUAGAAAUGGAAAAGGGAUCUGUUAUGUGCACUUAUGGGGUGUACUUUUGUUUAAGGAAUUUGCAGCCAGCCUUAUAAGUGGAUAAACUUAUACUUUGUUAGAUAAAGGACAAAGGCCCAAUGUACUUAAGAAACUUUAAUGGUACAUAUGUUGCCUAAUAAUCAUUCAAAAACAAACAAACAAACAAACAAACAAUGAUUCACUCCUCUUAAUCCACAUCAUGGGUUAAAGAGAACAUUGCCAGGAGGCCUUCACUCUUUUAGAAGGGCAUCAUUUGUUAAGUGCUUUUUCCAUGGUUUAGAGUAGAGAAGCAAUGAAUAGAAAUGUACCCCCAUUAUAUGCUCUAUAGCAAAUUUUACUGUAAGGCCUACAGUUAAACAACAGACUUUAAAUUCUUUUGUGAAAGUUAUAAUAGAGUUGGAUGAACAGAAAAGUAUCUAUGCUGCAGCUGGCACUUAUGACCUACGGAAAAAUACAUUAAAUGAAGAUUAUGGAAAUUCAGUGAAGGAGAUGAGACUGCUAAGUUAAAGACCAUCUAGCUUCAGAUGAUCAUGCAACAAAGGCUCCAGCCAAUUCCAGGGCAUACAGCAAGUAACCAAUGGAAACUGCUAGAGUGUAUUUAAACUCCCACAAAUUCUGUAAUGGGGCCCUAUGCUCAUGCCCAUUACCACACUGUGAAGUGUACUUUCAUUUCGAAUAAAUAUCUCCUUUUGCUACUUUAUUCUUUCCUUGCAUUUUUUUCUGCAUUUUGUCCAAUUCUUUGUUCAAGAAGCCAAGAACCUGGACACCCUCUUUCGGUAACACAAUCAACUCCUAAGUACCAACCUCCUAAUAUCAUCAUCUUGGAGGUUAAAAUGUGGUAUAUACAUUUUGUGAGAAUGUAAAGAUUUCUUUAUCCAGUCUGGUGUUGACAGGCAUUUAAUUUGAUUCCAUGACUAUGCUAUUGUGAACAGUGUUACAAUGAACAUAUGCAUGCACGUGUCUUUAUGAUAGAAUGAUUUAUAUUCUUUGA
rnacentral:lncRNA from 1 species